rnacentral:rRNA from 1 species
AACGAACGCUGGCGGCAGGCUUAACACAUGCAAGUCGAACGCACCGCAAGGGGAGUGGCAGACGGGUGAGUAACGCGUGGGAAUCUACCUUUUGCUACGGGAUGGCUCCGGGAAACUGGAAUUAAUACCGUAUGUGCCCUUCGGGGGAAAGAUUUAUCGGCAAAGGAUGAGCCCGCGUUGGAUUAGCUAGUUGGUGGGGUAAAGGCCUACCAAGGCGACGAUCCAUAGCUGGUCUAAGAGGAUGAUCAGCCACAUUGGGACUGAGACACGGCCCAAACUCCUACGGGAGGCAGCAGUGGGGAAUAUUGGACAAUGGGCGCAAGCCUGAUCCAGCCAUGCCGCGUGAGUGAUGAAGGCCCUAGGGUUGUAAAGCUCUUUCAGUGGGGACGAUAAUGACGGUACCCACAGAAGAAGCCCCGGCUAACUUCGUGCCAGCCGCCGCAGUAA